AUCCAGCUGACGAGUCCUAAAUAGGACGAAGUAUGCAUCCUGGAU
rnacentral:hammerhead_ribozyme from 1 species